UGCCUGAACGAUAAGUAAUACUAUGAUCGAUAGAAUGCUCAUGAUGAAUGCAAGAUUAACUUUUCAUUACCCAAUCUCAUGGCUAGCCCAUAGGUUUCGCCCUCACAAACUCACCAACCCAAAUCCCUACUAUCGGGGAGAAUUCCGCUACGACCCGACGGGACCGUCCUCUGGGGAGAAUUCCGCUACGACCUAGUGAUGACAACUCCGGAGCACAUCGCCCGAGGGGGAGCUACCGCCCUUGAGCAAGGACUAUUAGGUGAGUACGAUCAAUCCUUAAGCUUAAGGAUUCCAAGUUCAAUCCAUUCCUUGACUUCAAGGAGAACCAUGUUCAUAUGACCCUUAACUCUAAGGUGUAUAUGUCAUAAUGUCACUAACCCAAUUUACUUGCAUUCUCUAACCUCUACUAGUGUCAUGUACACUACUUAUUCUUGUUCUUUGUCAUUGAUGCCACACUUGUUUUCUAAGUG
rnacentral:lncRNA from 1 species